rnacentral:rRNA from 1 species
GGGUACCUUCUGGCCAGCAGUCGGGGUAAUAGGUAGGGGGCAAGGGUUGUCCGGAUUUAUUUGGUGUAAAGGGUGCGUAGGCGGCCCUGUAAGUCAGUGGUGAAAUAUCUCAGCUUAACUGAGAGGGUGCCAUUGAUACUGCGGGGCUUGAGUACAGAUGAGGUAGGCGGAAUUGACGGUGUAGCGGUGAAAUGCAUAGAUAUCGUCAAGAACACCGAUAGCGAAGGCAGCUUACCAAGCUGUAACUGACGCUGAGGCACGAAAGUGUGGGGAUCAAACAGGAUUAGAUACCCGGUAGUC